rnacentral:rRNA from 1 species
UACGGAGGGAGCUAGAGUUGUUCGGAAUUACUGGGCGUAAAGCGCGCGUAGGCGGCUUUGUAAGUUAGAGGUGAAAGCCUGGAGCUCAACUUCAGAAUUGCCUUUAAGACUGCAUCGCUUGAAUCCGGGAGAGGUGAGUGGAAUUCCGAGUGUAGAGGUGAAAUUCGUAGAUAUUCGGAAGAACACCAGUGGCGAAGGCGGCUCACUGGACCGGCAUUGACGCUGAGGUGCGAAAGCGUGGGGAGCAAACAGG